GCAGCACAGGAGAGCUUGCUCUCUGGGUGGCGAGUGGCGGACGGGUGAGGAAUACAUCGGAAUCUACCUUUUCGUGGGGGAUAACGUAGGGAAACUUACGCUAAUACCGCAUACGACCUACGGGUGAAAGUGGGGGACCGCAAGGCCUCACGCGAUUAGAUGAGCCGAUGUCCGAUUAGCUAGUUGGCGGGGUAAUGGCCCACCAAGGCGACGAUCGGUAGCUGGUCUGAGAGGAUGAUCAGCCACACUGGAACUGAGACACGGUCCAGACUCCUACGGGAGGCAGCAGUGGGGAAUAUUGGACAAUGGGCGCAAGCCUGAUCCAGCCAUACCGCGUGGGUGAAGAAGGCCUUCGGGUUGUAAAGCCCUUUUGUUGGGAAAGAAAUCCUAUCGGUUAAUAACCGGUGGGGAUGACGGUACCCAAAGAAUAAGCACCGGCUAACUUCGUGCCAGCAGCCGCGGUAAUACGAAGGGUGCAAGCGUUACUCGGAAUUACUGGGCGUAAAGCGUGCGUAGGUGGUGGUUUAAGUCUGCUGUGAAAGCCCUGGGCUCAACCUGGGAAUUGCAGUGGAUACUGGAUCACUAGAGUGUGGUAGAGGGAUGCGGAAUUUCUGGUGUAGCAGUGAAAUGCGUAGAGAUCAGAAGGAACAUCCGUGGCGAAGGCGGCAUCCUGGGCCAACACUGACACUGAGGCACGAAAG
rnacentral:rRNA from 1 species